rnacentral:rRNA from 1 species
CAGUAGCCACGUAAUACAGAGGGUGCAAGCGUUAAUCGGAAUUACUGGGCGUAAAGCGCGCGUAGGUGGUUUGUUAAGUUGGAUGUGAAAUCCCCGGGCUCAACCUGGGAACUGCAUCCAAAACUGGCAAGCUAGAGUAUGGUAGAGGGUGGUGGAAUUUCCUGUGUAGCGGUGAAAUGCGUAGAUAUAGGAAGGAACACCAGUGGCGAAGGCGACCACCUGGACUGAUACUGACACUGAGGUGCGAAAGCGUGGGGAGCAAACAGGAUUAGAUACCCCAGUAGUCCCUGUCUCUUAUACC